AUAGAAGUGAGCAUGCAGGCAUGAGUAGCGAUAAUUAAUGUGAGAAUCAUUAACGCCGUAAACCCAAGGUUUCCUACGCGAUGCUCGUCAUCGUAGGGUUAGUCGGGUCCUAAGUCGAGUCCGAAAGGGGUAGACGAUGGCAAAUUGGUUAAUAUUCCAAUACCAACAUUAGUGUGCGAUGGAAGGACGCUUAGGGCUAAGGGGGCUAGCGGAUGGAAGUGCUAGUCUAAGGUCGUAGGAGGUUAUACAGGCAAAUCCGUAUAACAAUACUCCGAGAACUGAAAGGCUUUUUGAAGUCUUCGGAUGGAUAGAAGAACCCCUGAUGCCGUCGAGCCAAGAAAAGUUUCUAAGUUUAGCUAAUGUUGCCCGUACCGUAAACCGACACAGGUGGGUGGGAUGAGUAUUCUAAGGCGCGUGGAAGAACUCUCUUUAAGGAACUCUGCAAAAUAGCACCGUAUCUUCGGUAUAAGGUGUGGUUAGCUUUGUAUUAGGAUUUACUCCGAAAGCAAGGAAACUUACAACAAAGAGUCCCUCCCGACUGUUUACCAAAAACACAGCACUCUGCUAACUCGUAAGAGGAUGUAUAGGGUGUGACGCCUGCCCGGUGCUCGAAGGUUAAUUGAUGGGGUUAGCAUUAGCGAAGCUCUUGAUCGAAGCCCGAGUAAACGGCGGCCGUAACUAUAACGGUCCUAAGGUAGCGAAAUUCCUUGUCGGUUAAAUACCGACCUGCAUGAAUGGCGUAACGAGAUGGGAGCUGUCUCAAAGAGGGAUCCAGUGAAAUUGUAGUGGAGGUGAAAAUUCCUCCUACCCGCGGCAAGACGGAAAGACCCCGUGGACCUUUACUACAGCUUGACACUGCUACUUGGAUAAGAAUGUGCAGGAUAGGUGGGAGGCUUUGAGUAUAUGACGCCAGUUGUAUAUGAGCCAUUGUUGAGAUACCACUCUUUCUUAUUUGGGUAGCUAACCAGCUUGAGUUAUCCUCAAGUGGGACAAUGUCUGGUGGGUAGUUUGACUGGGGCGGUCGCCUCCCAAAUAAUAACGGAGGCUUACAAAGGUUGGCUCAGAACGGUUGGAAAUCGUUCGUAGAGUAUAAAGGUAUAAGCCAGCUUAACUGCAAGACAUACAAGUCAAGCAGAGACGAAAGUCGGUCUUAGUGAUCCGGUGGUUCUGUGUGGAAGGGCCAUCGCUCAAAGGAUAAAAGGUACCCCGGGGAUAACAGGCUGAUCUCCCCCAAGAGCUCACAUCGACGGGGAGGUUUGGCACCUCGAUGUCGGCUCAUCGCAUCCUGGGGCUGGAGCAGGUCCCAAGGGUAUGGCUGUUCGCCAUUUAAAGCGGUACGCGAGCUGGGUUCAGAACGUCGUGAGACAGUUCGGUCCCUAUCUGCCGUGGGCGUAAGAAGAUUGAAGAGAUUUGACCCUAGUACGAGAGGACCGGGUUGAACAAACCACUGGUGUAGCUGUUGUUCUGCCAAGAGCAUCGCAGCGUAGCUAAGUUUGGAAAGGAUAAACGCUGAAAGCAUCUAAGCGUGAAGCCAACUCUAAGAUGAAUCUUCUCUAAGCUCUCUAGAAGACUACUAGUUUGAUAGGCUGGGUGUGUAAUGGAUGAAAGUCCUUUAGCUGACCAGUACUAAUAGAGCGUUUGGCUUAUCUUUAAUAAAGCAU
rnacentral:rRNA from 1 species